UCUACGGGAGGCAGCAGUGAGGAAUAUUGGUCAAUGGGCGCGAGCCUGAACCAGCCACGUAGCGUGAAGGAUGACUGCCCUACGGGUUGUAAACUUCUUUUAUAAAGGAAUAAAGUGAGGCACGUGUGCCUUUUUGUAUGUACUUUAUGAAUAAGGAUCGGCUAACUACGUGCCAGCAGCCGCGGUAAUACGGAGAAUCCGGGCGUUAUCCGGAUUUAUUGGGUUUAACGGGAGCGUAGAUGGGUUGUUAAGUCAGUUGUGAAAGUUUGCGGGUCAACAGUAAAAUUGCAAUUGAUACUGGCAGCCUUGAGUACAGUUGAGGUAGGCGGAAUUCGUGGUGUAGCGGUGAAAUGCUUAGCUAUCACGAAGAACUCCGAUUGCGAAGGCAGCUUACUAAACUGCCACUGACAUUGAUGCUCGAAAGUGUGGGUAUCAAACAGGAUUAGAUACCCUUGUAGUC
rnacentral:rRNA from 1 species